AUUGAACGCUGGCGGCAGGCCUAACACAUGCAAGUCGAGCGGAUGAAGGGAGCUUGCUCCUGGAUUCAGCGGCGGACGGGUGAGUAAUGCCUAGGAAUCUGCCUGGUAGUGGGGGAUAACAUCCGGAAACGGGCGCUAAUACCGCAUACGUCCUGAGGGGGAAAGUGGGGGAUCUUCGGACCUCACGCUAUCAGAGGAGCCUAGGUCGGAUUACCUAGUUGGUGGGGUAAAGGCCUACCAAGGCGACGAUCCGUAACUGGUCUGAGAGGAUGAUCAGUCACACUGGAACUGAGACACGGUCCAGACUCCUACGGGAGGCAGCAGUGGGGAAUAUUGGACAAUGGGCGAAAGCCUGAUCCAGCCAUGCCGCGUGUGUGAAGAAGGUCUUCGGAUUGUAAAGCACUUUAAGUUGGGAGGAAGGGCAGUAAGUUAAUACCUUGCUGUUUUGACGUUACCAACAGAAUAAGCACCGGCUAACUUCGUG
rnacentral:rRNA from 1 species